AGGAUAUAUCGUAGCAGUUUAUAUGGAAUUUGUGGCAAAAUAAUUAUCAACAAAAUUUUGUACACAAAACCAAAUGUUCCAAAAGAGACUCUCGUACAAAAUUUGUUACCACACAUGGAUUGUUAAAGACGAAUAUACAAGUGAACGAGUGAUUACCAUGAAAAUUUGUUGAACACAAAACUGGUACACAUGACAUGCAGUACAGCCAAGCCAAAUUAAUUUGACAUAAACAAAAACAUCAGCAUCAUCAACAACACACAUGGAGAAAAUAGAAUCCAGUAGUGAAUCAAGCAAGUCAAGUUGAUUUUCAUCCCAGCCAAUAUUUGCAAUAAGCAAACCAGUUAAAUCAUCUUCAGUGAGACUGACUUGAUUUGAUUCUGGUACUUCUGAUAGACUAUCAGGAAUUGGUGGUGAUACAGAACUUGGUGGUGUUUCAUACAAUGGUUGCUGUUUUGUGAUGGGCGGUGGUGAUGGUGAACAUGGUGGUGUUGGUAAACUUGAAGCACUUGUUAUAUCUAAUGAUUGUAACCAUGAUAAACUU